rnacentral:rRNA from 1 species
GGGACUCCAAGUGCGAGGGCAUAUAGUCCUCGCUUUUUCCGACCGUAGGAUGGUCGGCGAAUAAGUGCUGGGCAAGACCGGUGCCAGCCGCCGCGGUAAUACCGGCAGCACGAGUGAUGACCGCUAUUAUUGGGCCUAAAGCGUCCGUAGCUGGCCACGCAAGUCCAUCGGGAAAUCUCUCCGCUCAACGGAGAGGCGUCCGGUGGAAACUGUGUGGCUUGGGACCGGAAGAUCCAGAGGGUACGUCUGGGGUAGGAGUGAAAUCCCGUAAUCCGAGACGGACCACCGGUGGCGAAAGCGCUCUGGAAAGACGGAUCCGACGGUGAGGGACGAAAGCUCGGGUCACGAACCGGAUUAGAUACCCGGGUAGUCCGAGCUGUAAACGAUGUCUGCUAGGUGUGACACAGGCUACGAGCCUGUGUUGUGCCGUAGGGAAGCCGUGAAGCAGACCGCCUGGGAAGUACGUCUGCAAGGAUGAAACUUAAAGGAAUUGGCGGGGGAGCACUACAACCGGAGGAGCCUGCGGUUUAAUUGGACUCAACGCCGGACAUCUCACCAGCAUCGACAGUGUGCAGUGAAAGUCAGUGUGAUGAGCUUACUGGAGCCACUGAGA